CCCUUAGAUGUUCUGGGCCGCACGCGCGCUACAAUGAUGAAUUCAACGAGUUUAUAACCUUGGUUGAAAAGCCUGGGUAAUCUUUUGAACUUUCGUCGUGAUGGGGCUAGACCCUUGCAAUUAUUGGUCUCCAACGAGGAAUUCCUAGUAAACGCAAGUCAUCAGCUUGCAUUGAUUACGUCCCUGCCCUUUGUACACACCGCCCGUCGCUCCUACCGAUUGAAUGUUCCGGUGAGCUCUUCGGACUGCGCGGUCUGCAGUUUCUGCGUUCCGUGCGGAAAGUUGUGCAAACCUUAACAUUUAGAGGAAGGAGAAGUCGUAACA
rnacentral:rRNA from 1 species